rnacentral:rRNA from 1 species
GGGAACUACGAGCUAAGCUUAAAACCCAAAGGACUUGACGGUACCCCACAUCCUACUAGAGGAGCCUGUUCUGUAAUCGAUAAUCCGCGUUUAACCUCACCAUCUUUAGUUAAUCAGCCUGUAUACCUCCGUCGUCAGCUUACCACGUGAGCGCAAAUUAGUGGGCCCAAUGUUAUUACACCAAUACGUCAGGUCAAGGUGCAGCAAAUAAGAUGGGAAGAGAUGGGCUACACUUUCUAUUUUAGAAAAAACGGAAAACUACCUAUGAAACCUAGUUGGAAGGCGGAUUUAGCAGUAAAAAGGAAUCAACACGUCCAUUUUAACUUGGCACUGGGGUGUGU